rnacentral:rRNA from 1 species
GUGCCAGCCGCCGCGGUAAUACCGGCAGCCCAAGUGGUGGCCGCUGUUAUUGGGCCUAAAGCGUCCGUAGCUGGCCGACCAAGUCUCCCGGGAAAUCCACCCGCCCAACGGGUGGGCGUCCGGUAGAAACUGGCCGGCUUGGAACCGGAAGGCUCAGAGAGUACGUCCGGGGUAGGAGUGAAAUCCCGUAAUCCCGGACGGACUACCGAUGGCGAAAGCACUUCGAGAAAACGGAUCCGACAGUGAGGGACGAAAGCCAGGGUCUCCAACCGGAUUAGAUACCCUAGUAGUAC